UUCAGUAGUUUAAAGAAAAUUUUAAUUUUGUAAAUUAAAGAUGUAUUCCUGAAGUU
rnacentral:tRNA from 1 species